UAUGAGAGUUUGAUCCUGGCUCAGGACGAACGCUGGCGGCGUGCCUAAUACAUGCAAGUCGAACGCUUCUUUUCCCACCGGAGCUUGCUCCACCGGGAAAAGAGGAGUGGCGAACGGGUGAGUAACACGUGGGUAACCUGCCCAUCAGAAGGGGAUAACACUUGGAAACAGGUGCUAAUACCGUAUAACAAUCGAAACCGCAUGGUUUCGUUUUGAAAGGCGCUUUACGGUGCCGCUGAUGGAUGGACCCGCGGUGCAUUAGCUAGUUGGUGAGGUAACGGCUCACCAAGGCCACGAUGCAUAGCCGACCUGAGAGGGUGAUCGGCCACAUUGGGACUGAGACACGGCCCAAACUCCUACGGGAGGCAGCAGUAGGGAAUCUUCGGCAAUGGACGAAAGUCUGACCGAGCAACGCCGCGUGAGUGAAGAAGGUUUUCGGAUCGUAAAACUCUGUUGUUAGAGAAGAACAAGGGUGAGAGUAACUGUUCACCCCUUGACGGUAUCUAACCAGAAAGCCACGGCUAACUACGUGCCAGCAGCCGCGGUAAUACGUAGGUGGCAAGCGUUGUCCGGAUUUAUUGGGCGUAAAGCGAGCGCAGGCGGUUUCUUAAGUCUGAUGUGAAAGCCCCCGGCUCAACCGGGGAGGGUCAUUGGAAACUGGGAGACUUGAGUGCAGAAGAGGAGAGUGGAAUUCCAUGUGUAGCGGUGAAAUGCGUAGAUAUAUGGAGGAACACCAGUGGCGAAGGCGGCUCUCUGGUCUGUAACUGACGCUGAGGUUCGAAAGCGUGGGGAGCAAACAGGAUUAGAUACCCUGGUAGUCCACGCCGUAAACGAUGAGUGCUAAGUGUUGGAGGGUUUCCGCCCUUCAGUGCUGCAGCUAACGCAUUAAGCACUCCGCCUGGGGAGUACGACCGCAAGGUUGAAACUCAAAGGAAUUGACGGGGGCCCGCACAAGCGGUGGAGCAUGUGGUUUAAUUCGAAGCAACGCGAAGAACCUUACCAGGUCUUGACAUCCUUUGACCACUCUAGAGAUAGAGCUUCCCCUUCGGGGGCAAAGUGACAGGUGGUGCAUGGUUGUCGUCAGCUCGUGUCGUGAGAUGUUGGGUUAAGUCCCGCAACGAGCGCAACCCUUAUUGUUAGUUGCCAUCAUUUAGUUGGGCACUCUAGCAAGACUGCCGGUGACAAACCGGAGGAAGGUGGGGAUGACGUCAAAUCAUCAUGCCCCUUAUGACCUGGGCUACACACGUGCUACAAUGGGAAGUACAACGAGUCGCGAAGUCGCGAGGCUAAGCUAAUCUCUUAAAGCUUCUCUCAGUUCGGAUUGUAGGCUGCAACUCGCCUACAUGAAGCCGGAAUCGCUAGUAAUCGCGGAUCAGCACGCCGCGGUGAAUACGUUCCCGGGCCUUGUACACACCGCCCGUCACACCACGAGAGUUUGUAACACCCGAAGUCGGUGAGGUAACCUUUUUGGAGCCAGCCGCCUAAGGUGGGAUAGAUGAUUGGGGUGAAGUCGUAACAAGGUAGCCGUAUCGGAAGGUGCGGCUGGAUCACCUCCUUUCUAAGGAA
rnacentral:rRNA from 1 species